UGGGGAAUAUUGCACAAUGGGCGAAAGCCUGAUGCAGCAACGCCGCGUGAGUGAUGAAGGCCUUCGGGUUGUAAAGCUCUGUCUUUUGGGACGAUAAUGACGGUACCAAAGGAGGAAGCCACGGCUAACUACGUGCCAGCAGCCGCGGUAAUACGUAGGUGGCAAGCGUUGUCCGGAUUUACUGGGCGUAAAGGAUGCGUAGGCGGAUUUUUAAGUGAGAUGUGAAAACCCUAAGCUUAACUUGGGGACUGCAUUUCAUACUGGAAAUCUAGAGUGCGGGAGAGGAGAAUGGAAUUCCUAGUGUAGCGGUGAAAUGCGCAGAGAUUAGGAAGAACACCAGUGGCGAAGGCGAUUCUCUGGACCGUAACUGACGCUGAGGCAUGAAAGCGUGGGUAGCAAACAGGAUUAGAUACCCUGGUAGUCCACGCCGUAAACGAUGAGUACUAGGUGUAGGAGGUAUCGACCCCUUCUGUGCCGCAGUUAACACAAUAAGUACUCCGCCUGGGAAGUACGAUCGCAAGAUUAAAACUCAAAGGAAUUGACGGGGUC
rnacentral:rRNA from 1 species